AAGCGUAAUAGCUCACUGGUCGAGUCGGCCUGCGCGGAAGAUGUAACGGGGCUAAACCAUGCACCGAAGCUGCGGCAGCGACACUAUGUGUUGUUGGGUAGGGGAGCGUUCUGUAAGCCUGUGAAGGUGUGCUGUGAGGCAUGCUGGAGGUAUCAGAAGUGCGAAUGCUGACAUAAGUAACGAUAAAGCGGGUGAAAAGCCCGCUCGCCGGAAGACCAAGGGUUCCUGUCCAACGUUAAUCGGGGCAGGGUGAGUCGACCCCUAAGGCGAGGCCGAAAGGCGUAGUCGAUGGGAAACAGGUUAAUAUUCCUGUACUUGGUGUUACUGCGAAGGGGGGACGGAGAAGGCUAUGUUGGCCGGGCGACGGUUGUCCCGGUUUAAGCGUGUAGGCUGAUUUUCCAGGCAAAUCCGGAAAAUCAAGGCUGAGGCGUGAUGACGAGGCACUACGGUGCUGAAGCAACAAAUGCCCUGCUUCCAGGAAAAGCCUCUAAGCAUCAGGUAACAUCAAAUCGUACCCCAAACCGACACAGGUGGUCAGGUAGAGAAUACCAAGGCGCUUGAGAGAACUCGGGUGAAGGAACUAGGCAAAAUGGUGCCGUAACUUCGGGAGAAGGCACGCUGAUAUGUAGGUGAAGCGACUUGCUCGUGGAGCUGAAAUCAGUCGAAGAUACCAGCUGGCUGCAACUGUUUAUUAAAAACACAGCACUGUGCAAACACGAAAGUGGACGUAUACGGUGUGACGCCUGCCCGGUGCCGGAAGGUUAAUUGAUGGGGUUAGCGGUAACGCGAAGCUCUUGAUCGAAGCCCCGGUAAACGGCGGCCGUAACUAUAACGGUCCUAAGGUAGCGAAAUUCCUUGUCGGGUAAGUUCCGACCUGCACGAAUGGCGUAAUGAUGGCCAGGCUGUCUCCACCCGAGACUCAGUGAAAUUGAACUCGCUGUGAAGAUGCAGUGUACCCGCGGCAAGACGGAAAGACCCCGUGAACCUUUACUAUAGCUUGACACUGAACAUUGAGCCUUGAUGUGUAGGAUAGGUGGGAGGCUUUGAAGUGUGGACGCCAGUCUGCAUGGAGCCGACCUUGAAAUACCACCCUUUAAUGUUUGAUGUUCUAACGUUGGCCCGUUAUCCGGGUUGCGGACAGUGUCUGGUGGGUAGUUUGACUGGGGCGGUCUCCUCCUAAAGAGUAACGGAGGAGCACGAAGGUUGGCUAAUCCUGGUCGGACAUCAGGAGGUUAGUGCAAUGGCAUAAGCCAGCUUGACUGCGAGCGUGACGGCGCGAGCAGGUGCGAAAGCAGGUCAUAGUGAUCCGGUGGUUCUGAAUGGAAGGGCCAUCGCUCAACGGAUAAAAGGUACUCCGGGGAUAACAGGCUGAUACCGCCCAAGAGUUCAUAUCGACGGCGGUGUUUGGCACCUCGAUGUCGGCUCAUCACAUCCUGGGGCUGAAGUAGGUCCCAAGGGUAUGGCUGUUCGCCAUUUAAAGUGGUACGCGAGCUGGGUUUAGAACGUCGUGAGACAGUUCGGUCCCUAUCUGCCGUGGGCGCUGGAGAACUGAGGGGGGCUGCUCCUAGUACGAGAGGACCGGAGUGGACGCAUCACUGGUGUUCGGGUUGUCAUGCCAAUGGCACUGCCCGGUAGCUAAAUGCGGAAGAGAUAAGUGCUGAAAGCAUCUAAGCACGAAACUUGCCCCG
rnacentral:rRNA from 1 species